AUGGAUUGCAACCUCUGCAUCAUCUUCUGGAACGUGCGCGGGCUUAACUACCCGGCUAAGUGUAGCGCCAUCAGAUCCGUCAUUGCGAGUGUCCAUCCCACCGUAGUUUGCCUGCAGGAGAUGAAGCUCGCCAUCGUCACCCCUUUCCUCGUCUCUGACUCCCUCGGGCCAGAGUUCUCCGCCUUCUUCCACCUGUCGGCCGAGGGUACGUGCGGUGGCAUCAUUCUCGCGUGGCGCCCCUCGGAGAUCUCCCUGUCUAACCCAUACAUCAGAGUCAACUUUGUCGCUUCCUGUGCCACCUCCCCCGGCACCGACUCCCACUAG
rnacentral:rRNA from 1 species